AUUGAACGCUGGCGGCAGGCCUAACACAUGCAAGUCGAGCGGUUGAGGUAGCUUGCUACCGAUGCAGCGGCGAACGGGUGAGUAAUACAUGGGAAUCUGCCUGGUAGUGGGGGACAACGUCUCGAAAGGGACGCUAAUACCGCAUACGCCCUACGGGGGAAAGGGGGGGAUCUUCGGACCUCUCGCUAUCAGAUGAGCCCAUGUCAGAUUAGCUAGUUGGUGGGGUAAAGGCUCACCAAGGCGACGAUCUGUAACUGGCCUGAGAGGAUGAUCAGUCACACUGGAACUGAGACACGGUCCAGACUCGUACGGGAGGCAGCAGUGGGGAAUAUUGGACAAUGGGCGCAAGCCUGAUCAGCCAUGCCGCGUGUGUGAAGAAGGCCUUAGGGUUGUAAAGCACUUUCAGUGGGGAGAAAGGUAAUUCACCUAAUACGUGAGUUAAUUGAUGUUACCCACAGAAGAAGCACCGGCUAACUCCGUGCCAGCCGCCGCAGUAA
rnacentral:rRNA from 1 species